rnacentral:rRNA from 1 species
UCUUGGUCAUUUAGAGGAAGUAAAAGUCGUAACAAGGUCUCCGUUGGUGAACCAGCGGAGGGAUCAUUACCGAGUUUACAACUCCCAAACCCUUAUGUGAACCGUACCUAUCGUUGCUUCGGCGGGAACGCCCCGGCGCCCUGCGCCCGGAUCCAGGCGCCCGCCGGAGACCCCAAACUCUUGUGUUUUUUUCAGUAUUCUCUGAGUGGCAAACGCAAAAAUAAAUCAAAACUUUUAACAACGGAUCUCUUGGUUCUGGCAUCGAUGAAGAACGCAGCGAAAUGCGAUAAGUAAUGUGAAUUGCAGAAUUCAGUGAAUCAUCGAAUCUUUGAACGCACAUUGCGCCCGCCAGUAUUCUGGCGGGCAUGCCUGUCUGAGCGUCAUUUCAACCCUCAGCCCCCGUUCGCGGGGCGCUGGCGUUGGGGCCCGGCCGUCCUCGCGGCGGCCGUCCCCGAAACACAGUGGCGGUCUCCCGCAGACUCCCCUGCGUAGUAGCACUACCUCGCAGAAGGGACGAGCGGGCUGGCCACGCCGUAAAACACCCCACUUCUCCAGGUUGACCUCAGAUCAGGUAGGAAUACCCGCUGAACUUAAGCAUAUCAAUAAGCGGAGGA